rnacentral:rRNA from 1 species
UACGGAGGGUGCGAGCGUUGUUCGGAAUUACUGGGCGUAAAGCGAGUGUAGGCGGUUUGGUAAGUCGGAUGUGAAAGCCCCGGGCUCAACCCGGGAAGUGCACUCGAUACUGCCAAGCUAGAGUAUCGGAGAGGUUGGUGGAAUUCUCGGUGUAGAGGUGAAAUUCGUAGAUAUCGAGAGGAACACCGGUGGCGAAGGCGGCCAACUGGACGAAUACUGAC